rnacentral:rRNA from 1 species
UACGGGGGGGCAAGGCGUUGUUCGGAAUUACUGGGCGUAAAGGGUGCGUAGGCGGCGCGGAAAGUAGGGUGUGAAAUCCCUCGGCUCAACCGAGGAAUUGCGUCCCUAAACUACCGUGCUCGAGGGAGAUAGAGGUGAGGCGGAACUUAGGGUGGAGGCGGUAGAAAUGCGUUGAUAUCCUAAGGAACACCGGUGGCGAAAGCGGCUCACUGGAUCUCUUCUGACGCUGAGGCGGCGAAAGCUGAGGGGAGCAAACGGGGAUUA